rnacentral:rRNA from 1 species
UUUUAGGGUCCGCGUUGUAAUUUGUAGAAGAUGCUUCGGGUGUGGCCCCGGUCUAAGUUCCUUGGAACAGGACGUCAUAGAGGGUGAGAAUCCCGUAUGUGACUGGGUGCUUUCGCUCAUGUGAAGCUCUUUCGACGAGUCGAGUUGUUUGGGAAUGCAGCUCAAAAUGGGUGGUAAAUUUCAUCUAAAGCUAAAUAUUGGCCAGAGACCGAUAGCGCACAAGUAGAGUGAUCGAAAGAUGAAAAGCACUUUGGAAAGAGAGUUAAACAGUACGUGAAAUUGUUGAAAGGGAAGCGCUUGCAACCAGACUUGCGCGCUGAUGAUCAUCCGGGCUUCUGCCCGGUGCACUCGUCUGCGCUCAGGCCAGCAUCGGUUUUGGUGGUGGGAUAAAGGCCUUGGGAAUGUAGCUCCUCUCGGGGAGUGUUAUAGCCCUCGGUGCAAUGCCGCCUACCGGGACCGAGGACCGCGCUUCGGCUAGGAUGCUGGCGUAAUGGUUGUAAGCGACCCGUCUUGAAACACGGACCAAGGAGUCUAACAUCUAUGCGAGUGUUUGGGUGUCAAACCCAUACGCGUAAUGAAAGUGAACGGAGGUGAGAACCCUUAAGGGUGCAUCAUCGACCGAUCCUGAUGUCUUCGGAUGGAUUUGAGUAAGAGCAUAGCUGUUGGGACCCGAAAGAUGGUGAACUAUGCGUGAAUAGGGUGAAGCCAGAGGAAACUCUGGUGGAGGCUCGCAGCGGUUCUGACGUGCAAAUCGAUCGUCAAAUUUGCGUAUAGGGGCGAAAGACUAAUCGAACCAUCUAGUAGCUGGUUCCUGCCGAAGUUUCCCUCA